rnacentral:rRNA from 1 species
CUGGAGGUAUCAGAAGUGCGAAUGCUGACAUAAGUAACGAUAAAGCGGGUGAAAAGCCCGCUCGCCGGAAGACCAAGGGUUCCUGUCCAACGUUAAUCGGGGCAGGGUGAGUCGACCCCUAAGGCGAGGCCGAAAGGCGUAGUCGAUGGGAAACGGGUUAAUAUUCCCGUACUUGGUGUUACUGCGAAGGGGGGACGGAGAAGGCUAUGUUGGCCGGGCGACGGUUGUCCCGGUUUAAGCGUGUAGGUGUGUGUUCCAGGUAAAUCCGGUUCACUUUAACACUGAGGCGUGACGACGAGGCACUACGGUGCUGAAGCAACAAAUGCCCUGCUUCCAGGAAAAGCCUCUAAGCAUCAGGUAACAUCAAAUCGUACCCCAAACCGACACAGGUGGUCAGGUAGAGAAUACCA